CACAGUGUGAGAUGUGACUCACUUCUUAGUAAACUGAAAGUGGAGAGACUCACUAGAGCGACCAGGAUAGCAGAUAAAUUGGAGCUUGGGGUCACUUAAAAGUGAUGUGAGUCUGAUCAAGAAGCUUCUGCAAGAGAGGAGCCUGCAGCCAACUUUCAGCCUCAUAAUAAAUGUCCAAGAAUGUGAUUGCUGGGUCAUAAGCGAAGUGUGUAAUUUCUACUAAGCUGCCAGACCAAUUUAAGAG
rnacentral:lncRNA from 1 species